CUUCUUCUUUCUUCUCUCUGUUUCUCCUCCAUCUCCAGAUGCAAUCUACAAAAAAAAAUACCUCUGAAUGCAUUCUUUAUCUGAAAAGAAACCAGUCAAGAAGACAAGUUGGAGAUCAACAGAUCGAUGGGUUGAUGGCGUUGUUGGUAGGCAAAGCCACGGGAAAAUUCGAGUUACUGGUGAUUGAAAGGAGAAUUCGAGUUCUUCUGGAAUUAUGAAGGAUGGGUACUCACUUGAAAUCGAAAUCGACAGUUUGUCAAUAUCGGAUUUCAGAUUAGCUUUUGAUUCUGAAUCAGUAACAAGACGGCACCGGUUGGUUUCAGUUUCAAUUUAUUUUUUAGAUUCAUAAAAUCGAUCUGUAAAUGAUUUAGUGGAUUCAAAAAGAAGGCAAAUCGUUGGAAUCAGACUUACAUGACAUAGCUUGUUGAAGAAGAGAAUGGUGGAGAUUUGAGAGGCGUUCGAUCAUUGCAGCAUGUUUCUUUUGAGCAAUUAUAUCUUGGGUUUUCUCUGAGAAACAUGCCAGGGUUAGGUGACGCUGGGAUUCAGAUGACGAAGGUACUGGUUUGGUGUUGAUGUUGCACACAACAAUAACAACAAGUGAAGUUUGAGUAGCUGGAGAACUAAAGCAAGAGCGGGAAAAUUGGUGAUUCUGGUGGUGCUAUGUCAAGUAAUGAUGGCUACAGAUUGAUGUUGCAGGGAAGCUACAGAUGGUACUGGUGUGGGUAUGCUGUAAAUGUAGAGAAAAAAAUGAAGAUGAUUGAUGGUUUCUUUUUAGAUGUAUGUUAGGGUUAUGAUCAGGUUGUGCUGAGAAGGAUUACAGGAAUCCAAAAUCGAAUUUGCAGCUGGCUGAGAGGUUGCAGGGAAUGUAUGGCCUGGAGUUACAGUUGCAGCUGCACUGAGAAUUGAGAAGCAAAUGGUUGAGUGCAUCAAAUAGUUAUAUAUUGGCUGGAUUAUAGAUGGAGAGAAUAUCUGCAUGAGUUGCUGGCAGUGGUAGUUCCAAGCAACAGAUUUAGGUGUCGUUGGCUACUCGAGAAGACACCGUCAACAACAACAAUGAAUCCGUAACUAGUGGAGUGUUUGUUGGAUGGUUCUUUACGGGACUUCCACCAUCGAUUCAGUGAAUGGACUUGAUUAAAUGGAAUGGGAUUGAUUUUGUUUGGGAAAUUUCCUAAGAGUUGUAGCGGAGAUGAAGUUUCAGUCCGACAGAAAGGGUGAACUGAUGGAGCUGCGACAGAUGAAAACAGGGAGAUGCAGCUGCAGGGAUUGAUCCGAGCUACUAUGAAUGGAUGCAACUACAGGUGGAAGCGCUUUACAACAACUGAUUAGAGCUAAAGGGAUGCUGCAGUGGCUGAGCAAAGGAAAUGGAAGUGCAACUGGAGUUGUGGGUGUAGGAUUCAGCUGAGUAUUGCAGGUGGACUUGAGAUGUUGCUUACUGUGGUUUGGAAUUCUAGUAUUAAUUUUGAUUUGAACUAAAAAUGAAUCCAUUCAGCCUAUUGGUGUUGGUUA